rnacentral:rRNA from 1 species
CCUACGGGAGGCAGCAGUGGGGGAUAUUGCUCAAUGGGGGAAACCCUGAUGCAGCGACGCCGCGUGGGCGAAGAAGUAUUUCGGUAUGUUAAGCCCUAUCAGCAGGGAAGAAGAAAUGACGGUACCUGAGUAAGAAGCACCGGCUAAAUACGUGCCAGCAGCCGCGGUAAUACGUAUGGUGCAGGCGUUAUCCGGAUUUACUGGGUGUAAAGGGAGCGCAGGCGGCACGGCAAGCCUGAUGUGAAAGCCCGGGGGCCACCCGCGGGACUGCAGUGGAAACUACCGGGCUGGAGUGCCGGAGAGGUAGGCGGAAUGCCUGGUGUAGCGGUGAAAUGCGUAGAUAUUGGGAGGAACACC